AAGUCGUAACAAGGUUUCCGUAGGUGAACCUGCGGAAGGAUCAUUAUCAUAACGUAUCCACGUAUAAACCAAUUUUAUAAUGUGAAUUGUAAUGUUUUACAACCUUUGAUAGUUAGAUGAUUGCUAUUUUGUUUCUUCUAUUAUAUUGAUUAAGGAAACAUGAUAGACUUGGGUGUGGUAACACACACCCUAGCUUUAACAAUCGAAGUGUAAUUUUAUUAAUCAAUAUAUAUUAACCAAUUGAACCGAAUUAACUUAAUUGUUAUUCAUAUUUCUUUAUAGUGAACUGAAUUGUUCUUUACCCUAUCGUAACUGAUAGAGAAAGGAUUAUAUUUACGAAACAUAAAUUAUGAACAACUCUUAGCAACGGAUAUCUUGGUUCUCAUAACGAUGAAGAACGCAGC
rnacentral:misc_RNA from 1 species